AAGGAAGAGCUCAAGAAGCUCCCACGAGUGAAGGCAAACUCUUCACCCAGCAGCCUGUUAAAAAGUAGGGCUUGAUUCCACAGGAAAUUGUAGGUACUGGAGGCUUACAUAGACUAGGAAAGUGGUUAGAUAUUUUCACAUGGGGACAAAAAAAGGGAAUGAAGUGGUUGUUUCUCCCCAUCCUGUUCCAGAGCAGUUGGAGUGAGAAGACAGAGGCUCACUAGUGCCUUGUGUCUCAUCCUGAUGGUGUCUUGGACUCUCUGCCUUUUCCACCUCCAUCCAGACCUGCUGAGCAGUUUCCUGAGGAAUCCUGUUCCUAAGACAGCCUCUGCAACAGCUUUGUUAGCCAAGCAUGGAAUUCUACUCAUUAGUUUUCCUGGAAAAAAAAUAUUUGUGCAUGUCAGUUCUUCAGCACCACCAGCGAACAACAGCAGAAAACAUCCAGAUUGUGUAAUUCCCAUGGAAAAUGGCAUUUGAAUGGAGAAAAAUUUCUCCUUAGAAUGUUAGUUUUAAUUUAAAAAUUUAAAAAUAUAUGUCUUUAUAUUUAUAUAUUUGACUAUAUCUAUG
rnacentral:lncRNA from 1 species